GGAUUACCAGAGCGACCAUAAAUUCACCGUCACUACUUACACUUCCGGUGGAGUUGCUAUCAGUUCAACUGGAGUUAAGAAAGGUGAGAUAUUUUUGGCAGAUGUAAGCACUCAGCUAAAGAACAACAACAUCACAACUGAUGUAAAAGUUGACACCAACUCCAAUGUUCACACUACUGUUACCAUUGAUGAACCUGCUCCAGGGUUGAAGACAAUUUUUAGCUUUCGUGUUCCUGACCAGAGAUCUGGCAAGGUUGAACUCCAAUAUCAACAUGAAUAUGCUGGAAUAAGCACUGGCAUUGGUCUGACUGCCAGCCCCAUUGUUAACUUCUCUGGCGUUGUUGGAAAUGACAAACUCUCACUUGGGACAGAUUUGUCAUUCGACACUGCUUCAGGAAACAUUACUAAAUUGAAUGCAGGCUUGAGUUACACUCACUCUGACCUUAUUGCGGCCCUUACCCUGAACGACAAAGGUGAUGCCCUCACUGCCUCCUACUACCACCUGGUUAGCCCCUUGAGCAACACAGCUGUUGGUGCGGAGCUGUCGCACAGCUUUUCAAGCAACGAGAAUACUCUCACUAUAGGCACACAGCAUGCUCUUGAC
rnacentral:misc_RNA from 1 species